rnacentral:lncRNA from 10 species
AGCAACGAUCCAGAUGGUGGCUGUGCUCUGUCUGCGUGGGUCCCAGAGUGAGAAGCUGAGGUGCCGGCCUUGUUGAACAGGGAGGGCUGCUCUCUGCUCUGGAGAUGGCACUGUGCUCUCAUGUCCACAUUGUGGAAGGCGGAAGGGCGAGAGAGGCUGGGUGACACCUCUUCUUGCCUUAGAAACACGAGCGAGUGGUUCUGAACAGCCGCGGUCUUGCAUGCCUGCCCCUCAGCAACGGCCCUGCUCCAAACCGGUGUUACAGUGAUCUGAUUAUUGUAAUUGAUGACAUUAGGAAUAAGGAAUCCACACAGAAUAAUACAGGUGCCUGUCAUGCCAGAGUGGUUUUAUUCAUUGUUAGAGAAGUUCAUAAAGUUGAAAGAAAGCAUCUACAUGGGCUAGAACAGCAAAAAGCAUGUUUUAGUCCUUUCUUAAUUUGUGAAUAAAAUGAUGAAUUCCAGAA